UACGUAGGGCGCAAGCGUUUAUCCGGAAUUAUUGGGCGUAAAGAGCUCGUAGGCGGUUUGUCGCGUCUGCCGUGAAAGUCCGGGGCUCAACUCCGGAUCUGCGGUGGGUACGGGCAGACUAGAGUGAUGUAGGGGAGACUGGAAUUCCUGGUGUAGCGGUGAAAUGCACAGAUAUCAGGAGGAACACCGAUGGCGAAGGCAGGUCUCUGGGCAUUAACUGACGCUGAGGAGCGAAAGCAUGGGGAGCGAACAGG
rnacentral:rRNA from 1 species